rnacentral:ncRNA from 1 species
ACUCUGGAUGGCAGAAUUCAGAUCACUUUUUUCUCUUUCUUUUGACUUUCUCCCUCCAUCCCUAUCAAUCAUGUAGUGACAAUAAAUAACAAUACCGGGCGCAUUAGUGUCUGGUAAUUGGAAUGAGUACAAUCUAAAUCCCUUAACGAGGAUCCAUUGGAGGUUCGUCCUCGGCUGGUACUUGCCCAACUCUGGUAUUCUUUAACGUUACAGUGUAGGUAGCCAAACAAAGUAUGAUUAUUGCCCAUACCGUUUACGUUAACAGUGUAACCCAAUUACGUUUGCGUUUGCGUUACCGAUCUGCAACCAAACACUUCCUCAGCUUCCCUUUUUGUUCAUUUUCUGCCAGGUCAUGUUUCCGGCAUCGUUACUUUGAAGAAAUUAGAGUCUUCAAAGCAAGCCAUCUCUCUAGAUACAUUAGCAUGGGAUAACAUCAUAGGAUUCCGGUCCUAUUGUGUUGGCCUUCGGGAUCGGAGUAAUGAUUAAUAGGGA